rnacentral:rRNA from 1 species
GACGAACGCUGGCGGCGUGCCUAAUACAUGCAAGUAGAACGCACAGUUUAUACCGUAGCUUGCUACACCAUAGACUGUGAGUUGCGAACGGGUGAGUAACGCGUAGGUAACCUGCCUGGUAGCGGGGGAUAACUAUUGGAAACGAUAGCUAAUACCGCAUAAUAUUAAUUAUUGCAUGAUAAUUGAUUGAAAGAUGCAACUGCAUCACUACCAGAUGGACCUGCGUUGUAUUAGCUAGUAGGCGAGGUAACGGCUCACCUAGGCGACGAUACAUAGCCGACCUGAGAGGGUGAUCGGCCACACUGGGACUGAGACACGGCCCAGACUCCUACGGGAGGCAGCAGUAGGGAAUCUUCGGCAAUGGACGAAAGUCUGACCGAGCAACGCCGCGUGAGUGAAGAAGGGUUUCGGAUCGUAAAGCUCUGUUGUAAGAGAAGAACGGGUGUGAGAGUGGAAAGUUCACACUGUGACGGUAUCUUACCAGAAAGGGACGGCUAACUACGUG